rnacentral:lncRNA from 1 species
UCAUUGAAUGUAGUGAGAUGAUCAUAUGGACUUUCAUGUGAUAGUCCAUUAAAUUGGUUGCUUUGCACCAAGUGUAUCAACGCUGGAUUCAUCACCAUGUUCAGUGCAUUGUUCCUCAACAUUGCGAUGCUAUUAAAGUGUUGAAGGCCACCCACAUUGGAUGCAUCUACCAGAGUGCAUCUAGGAGCUUCCUCCCCAGCCAUCUCUUGUAUGCUCUAGUUGGAUGCUUUCGGUGAUGGUUGCAACAAUAUCUCCGGAUGAGGGAAUAAUUCUCUAAAAGUUCGAGUUCUCCUUUUUUAUUGGGUUGCAACAAUAUCAACCACCGCUGCACCAGGU